rnacentral:lncRNA from 1 species
AAACGAAACUUUAAUCAAGCUCUCAGCUUUUGCAUCAGAGGCAGCACAGAGAAGAAAAAAAGACAGAGAAGGCUUUAAAAAGGAAGAUCACAAACAAGGAAACACCAAUUGUUUUUCUUCUUUGCAACUGGUUGGUGUGGUAAUUAAUUUUCCAAACUCAUUUAUCGUCAUUAUCAUUUUUAUUACUGGAGAAGAAAGGUACAGUAGAUCUAUUAGUCCAGAUUAUUUUUGUAAUUCUUGUGCUAAUUAUUAGAUUAAACAAAUGAAUGUCUGUGUUUAUCUACCAUUUACGUAGUUAUAAGGUAAAGUAGCAUCGCUAUUUAGAUUUGCAGGAAGAUUGAAAUAGACCCUAUGUAAGAUCCAAUAUGGUAAUUGCUCAUUUAUAUUUAUAUUUUCAAUAAGAACCUAUAACACAUUAACUAAAUAGUUUUUUUUUUUAAAUGUAACUUUCCAUUCUGUACUGAGAUUGCAAAUGCUUGUAUUUAAAGCAAUAUACUCUCGUAGAUACAAAUGGGGGAUGUUUCUCUAUAAUUUAAAGAUGUACCCGCUUUUUAUGCUUGCUGUAAUGUAGUGUGUCUUAAGUGUUAUUUGAUUUUAGGAUUUAAAGGAUGACUUGCUCAACCCUUCUUUGUGAAACUUAAAAAAAUAAAUAAAAAAAAAAGUCUAUAUUACCCUAUUUACUAAGUAUGUCUCCCUCAUAAAGAUAUAAAAGAAAGCAUAGACUUACCUGGAAUCCAGUGCAGGACAGAGGCGUCACUAAAGUACCCAGACCGUUUCAGCUCAAUGAAGUGGUCUGGGUGCCAGGUCCCCCAGGUUUUAACCUGCUGCUGUAAACAUAGUUCAGAGAAACUGCUAUGUUUACAUUGAAGGGCUAAUCCAGCCUUUUGUGGCUGUCUUCCUGACAGCCGCUAGAGGCACUUCCGCAACGCUCAAUGCGAAAAUUGCACUGAACACGCAGAACGUCUAUAGGAAAGCAUAGAGUAAUGCUUUCCUAUGGGCGGUUUGAAUGCGUGCGCGGCCGGCUCCACUUGGGAGGUGACAUCGGAGGGGGAGGAGAGAUCACCAGCGCCAAGGGAGCCCGGCGCUGGAUUAAGGUAAGUGGCUGAAGGAGGUUUUUACCCCUUCAGCCCACCUGAGGGUGUGGGAGACCUAAGGACUAUAUAGUGGUUUGUUUUCCCUCGCCGCUGGUGACCUCUCCUCCCCCUUCCGACGUCCGCUCCGUAUGCGCAUGCGCGACCAGAGCAGUGCGCGCAUUCAAACUGCCCAUAGGAAAUCAUUACUCAAUGCUUUCCAAUGGACGUCCAGCGUGAGUUAAAUGCACUAUUCGCAUUGAGGAUAGCGUAAGUAGCCUCUAGUGGCUGUCAGGGAGAUAGCCACUAGAGGCUGGAUUAACACUCAAACUGCUAUGUUUUAAGUGGUCUAGGUACCAGGCCCACCUAGUUUUAACCCUGCAGCUGAAAACUUAGCAAUUUCAGAGAAACUGCUAUGUUUACAGUGAGGGUUAAUCCAGCCUCUAGUGGCUGUAUCCCUGACAGCCACUAUAGGCCGCUUCUGCGAUCCUCAAAGCGAAAAGCACAUUCAACUAACGCUGGACGUUCAUAGGAAGGCAUUGAGUAAUGCUUUCCUAUGGGUGGUUUAAAUGCGUGCACGGCUUAGGCUGCGCAUGUGCAUUCAGAGCUGAUGUCAGCAGUGGGAGGAGGUGUCACCAGCGCUUAAGGAGUCCGGCGCUGGCACCCAGACCACCUCAUUGAGCUGAAGUGGUCUGGGUGCUAUAGUGGUCCUUUAAACAGUUUUUUUUUUUUUUUUUUAAAUAUUUUUACUCCUUAAACGGAUUCUGUAGUGCCAGGAAAACAAACCUGUUUUCCUGGCACAAUAGACUCCUCCUGCCCCCCCCACCCUGUGGUGCUGAAGAGGUAAAAAAAUAUUCAGUCACUUACCUGGGUCCAGCACCGAUUUCCCUCAGCGCUGGGUCCUCCCUUGCUGGCAAUGGCCGCACUUGCAUUCGGAUUUCCCCAUAGGAACUAUUCAAUAUAGGGAAAAUCUGAUGCUGGAGGUCCUCAUGUAUAGCGUGAGGACGUCCAGCGUCAGAUAACGGACUAAAGGUCUGUUUCGAUUCUGUAAGUCCCUCUAGUGGCCGUCUGGUAGACAGCCACUAGAGUAGGAGUUAACCCUCAGAGGUAAUUAUUGCAUUAUUCUCAGAAACUGCAAUAAUUACUACUGUAGGGUUAAGGGACAUGGGACAUUGCACCCAGACCACUUCAAUGAGUUGAAAUGGUCUGGGUGCCUACAGUGUCUCUUUAAGGAUAGCGGCCUGCAAUGCUGUCCUUAAGGAGGUGUUCCUAAACACUGCUGGACGACAUAGUAUAGCCAGGGUUUGUGACUAAGUGGCUACUAAAAAAGACUGGACAUACCCCAUUUGCAGUACCUUGGGUUGUCUACUUUUGCAAAUGGUAUGCCAUCAUGGGGGUAAUUUUCAUUACAGGGCUACCAUAUGGUCUCAAAAGCAACAUAACCAAUCUCAAAAAUUUCUGAAAAAUUUAACAUGCUAUAUUUGACCCUGUAACUUUCCAAAACACUAUAAAACCUGUACAUAGGGGGUACUGUUUUGCUCGUAAGACAUUUCUGAAUACAAAUAUGUGUACUUUAUUGCUGUAACAGCAAACAGUAGUAUGACAUUCACAGUUAAAAUGCCAUGCAGAACUAAAAAUUUUUUCUUAAUUUCUCACAUUUAUUUCUAUUUUAUUCAUAUUAAAUUAUGUUUCAUAUAUAAAUAUUGGAUGUGAUAUGAAAGCCCUAUUUCUCCCCGAACAAAAUUAUAUAUAAGUGUGGGUGCAUUUAAUAUGAAAGAGGGAAAUUAUGGUUGAAGAGACAUAACGCAAAUUCCAGGUUUAACGUUUUUGUUUUGAUCACAACUUUGUACAAUUGGCUCAGUCCUUAACCCCUUAAGAACCAGGGACGUAUUAGCCGCGAGGCAAACAAGGCAUUUGCUUUGGGCGGCAUUUUUCAGGGGGCGGCAAAAAACGCCGCCCCCCAAAUGCCCAGGGCAAAUGCCUAGUUAGCCUGGCGGCUAACUGACAUCCCGAGCGGGCGGCGCUGGGCGGGCGGCUGGCGAGGGAGCACUUCCUUUGAGCUGACUGCUCAGCUCCCUCGCGCGCCGCAGAGUAAGGCUGGGAGCCGGAAUAUGACGUCAUCUUCCGGCUCCCAGCCUCACUCUGCGGGCGGUGCGCGAGGGAGCUGAGCAGUCAGCUCAGAGGAAGUGCUCCCUCGCCAGCCGCCCGCACAGCAACCAGAGCCGCCCAGCCCGACCGGCAGCCACUGGACCACCAGGGAGAGAGAGACCUCCCCCCAGCACUCCCAAAGGUAAGGAGGUUGGGGAUUAAAAAAAAAAAAAGUUAAUGUGUGUGUGUGUCUGACUGUGUGUGUGUGUCUGACUGUGUGUGUGUGUGUAUUUAGAAGGUGGGUUGGGUGGGGGUGGCGUGGGGGAAGGGGGGUGCCUGAGUUUUGUCCUGCCUAGGGCAGCACAAAACCAGGAUACACCACUGUUAAGAACGCUGGAUGUAAAUUUCCCGUCAUUGCAGCACUCCCCUUAAGGACGCUGGACAGAAAAUUUCCAUCCAAAAUGAAAAUUAACCCCUGAUUGCCACAAUCGCUGCAAUCGUGGGGUUAAUCUUCCUGUAGUGUGUCUCCAUAUGGGAGGCACACUACCAAGGGCAGUUUCACUUUCACAGCCCAUGUGAUCGCUCUGUGAACUGCAGAGAGACAGAUCAGUGCUAAUCUGUCUCUGGCUGUAAACAAAAACAGUUAGUUACAAAAUCCCAUCCGCCCUCACCUCUUUCAAAUAAAAUUUAACCCCUUCCCUGCCCUUUGAUCACUGCCUGCAGUGAUCAAAAUACAAAUCACAGUAGUUUUUUUUUUUUUUUAACCCCUGAGGGUUAACUUUUUUUUUAAUCAUCAGGGGUUAAAUUUAUUUAAUUCAUUUAAAUAUUUUAAAAUAUUUAUUUAGCUAGGGUGGGUAGAAGUUAGUGGGGAAAUUGGGGGAUUUACGCUUAGGCUAGUUACGGGUUAAAAGUUUAAAAAAAACAACAAGUGAAACUUUUGAAAAGUUUAACCCCUUAAGGACCAAACUUCUGGAAUAAAAGGGAAUCAUGACAUGUCACACAUGUCAUGUGUCCUUAAGGGGUUAAACACAGUUUUAAAAUAGUAAAAUAAGUUGUUAAAAGCACAAAAAAUGUUUAAAAAUGGGGAAAAAGCAUAUUACCUCUACACUUGGUACAGGCUAGCAAAAAAAUGAUACCACGCUAAGGUUUCAAAUAUGCCUUUUGAAACACCCUGGGGUGUCUUCUUUAGGAAAUGGUGUGCCUUUUGUGAAGUAAAUGGAAAACACAACCUAUUAAAAAAAAAAAAAAUUCCAAAGUAGGGCAUGGACCCAGCGUAAAAAUUCUAACUUAAAUGGCUGUGUCUCAAAUGUGCCCCUUCAAUGUUGUCAUAUACCUGGUAAAGGUACAUACGGGGGUAUUGCUGUACUCAGAUGACAUAGCGUAGCAACAUAUGAUGUAUUAUACUGCUGUAGCACAUAUAAGGUUUGCAAAAUAUAUAUUACAAACUCAUUGAGUAUGUCAAAAAGGCAUAAAAAAAAUGCUUAUUACCACUACACUUGGUAUAAGCUAGCGGAAAAAUUAUUUCACGGUAAGGUUCAAAAUAUGUCUUUUGAAAUACCCUAGGGUGUCUUCUUUAAGAAAUGGUAUGCCUUUAUGGGGUAGCUGGAAUAAUUAACCUACCAAAAAACCUCCAAAGUGGGGUAUGGACACAGUGUAGAAAUGUAAAGUUUGAAAAAACUUAAAUGGCUGUGUCUCAAAUGUGCCCCUUCAAUGGCCGCAUAUACCUGGCAAAGGUACAUAUGGGGGUAUUGCUGUGCUCAGACGACAUAGCUGAGCAAGAUAGGAAGUAUUAUAUAGCUGUAGCACACAUAAGGUUUGCAAAAUACACAGUACAAGCUCACUGUGUGUGUCAAAAAAGCAGGAAAAAUGCUUAUUACCACUACACUUUGUACAGGCUAGCGGAAAAAUGAUCCAGCGCAAAGGUUCAAAAUAUGCCUUUUGAAAUACCCUGGGAUGUCUUCUUUAAGAAAUAGUAUGCUUUUAUGGGAUAGUUGGAAUAUAUAGCCUGCUAAAAAACUCCAAAGUGGGGUAACAACACAGCGUAAAAAUUCAAAGUUUGAAAAAAAUCUGCAAUGGCUGUGUCUGAAAUGUGCCCCUUCAACGUCCACAUAUACCUGGCAAAGGUACAUACGAGGGUAUUGCUAUACUCAGACAACAUAGCUGAGCAACAUAUAUAAAGUAUUAUAAAGCCGUAGCACACAUAAGGUUUGCAAAAUAAUACAGUACAAACUCACUGUGUGUCAAAAAGACAGAAAAAAAUGCUUAUUACCACUACACUUGAUACAAGCUAACGGAAAAAUUAUCCCACGCUAAGGUUCAAAAUUUGCCUUUUGAAAUACCCUCGGGCGUCUUCUUUAACCCCUUAAGGACACAUGACAUGUGUGACAUGUCAUGAUUCCCUUUUAUUCCAGAAGUUUGGUCUUUAAGGGGUUAAAGGACCACUAUAGGCACCCAGACCACUUCAGCUUAAUGAAGUGGUCUGGGUGCCAGGUCCAGCUAGGGUUAACCCUUUUUUUUUUAAUAAACAUAGCAGUUUCAGAGAAACUGCUAUGUUUAUAAAUGGGUUAAUUCAGCCUCCAGUGGCUGUCUCUUGACAGUCGCUAGAGGCGCUUGCGUGCUUCUCACUGUGAAAUCAGCAUUGUGAAUGCAUUCCUAUGAGACUGGCUGAAUGCGCGUGCAACUCUUGCCGUGCAUGCGCAUUCAGGCGAAGAGGAGGAGGAGAGCUCCCCGUCCGGCGCUGGAGAAAGAGGUAAGGUUAACCCCUUCCUCCCCCCAGAGCCCAGCGGGAGCGGGUCCCUGAGGGUGGGGGCACCCUCAGGGCACUAUAGUGCCAGGAAGACGAGUAUGUUUUCCUGGGACUAUAAUGGUCCUUUAAGAAAUAGUAUACCUUUUUGGGGUAGUUGGAAAAAGCAGCCUGCUAACAUAUUUAAAAAUAGAAUACGGACCCAUUAAAUCUCUCAAUGUAAAUUCACACUUAAAAACCACUCUCUUUUACAGCACUGUAACUUCACAAAAUAGUGUCUGGGUCAUACAUUGGGCAUAUUGUUUUACUCAGAAGAGGAUAACUGAGCAUACUUAGGGGGAAUUUAUGACAGUGGCACUUACCAAAUGUAAGAAAUACACAGCGAAAAUGCAACAUGUAUGUAAAAAAUAAAACAUUUCUCACCACAACUUUUGAAAUAAAUUGUUGAAAAAAUGGUGGCAAGUUAAGGUAUAAUAUAUGCCUAAUAACAUACCCUGGAGUGUCUGCUUUCUCAAAUGGAAGGCCUUUGUGGGGUUAUUUGAACAGUCAAAUGGCUAUAAUGCCACAAAAUCAGACAUAUGACCAUCUAUGAAAAUUCCAACUAUAGAAACUGAAAUAGCAUGGUCUCCUAUGUGGAAUUGUAGCUUCACAGAAUAGGGGCAAAGGUAUACAAUGGGGGUAUCGUUUUACUCAGCAGAUGUAGCUGAACAAAAUAUGGGGUUCUGUACAGGGAUAGCACACACUAGGUUUACGAAAUACACAUUACAAAAACCUUGUUAUAUGUGUAUAUGCCAAAAUCAAGAAAAAAACACUAUUUUACUCCAAUAUUUAGCAGGGAUUGGCGGUGAAAUGGGUACGCAAAAAGUGUCAAACAUUAUUUUGCAUUUUUUUUUUUGUAAUAAAUGAGAAUUUACAUAUGUAUAUGUCACAUCAAAUUAAAGCCCUUUUUGUUGUCUAAAAAAAGUAUAUAAUCUGUGUUGGUACAAUAAAUGAGAGAGAUGCAAAUUUCAGUUGAACACAAACAGCAAAAAAUGCAAAAAUUGCUUGUGUCCUUAAAGGACCACUCUAGGCACCCAGACCACUUCAGCUUAAUGAAGUGGUCUGGGUGCCAGGUCCUUCUAGGCUUAACCCAUUUUUUCAUAAUUAUAGCAGUUUCAGAGAAACUGCUAUAAUUAUGAAUGGGUUAAGCCUUCCCCCUAAUCCUCUAGUAGCUGUCUCAUUGACAGCCACUAGAAGCGCUUGCGUGCUUCUCACUGUGAAAAUCACAGUGAGAGCACGCCAGCGUCCAUAGGAAAGCAUUGUAAAUGCUUUCCUAUGAGACCGGCUGAAUGCGCGCGCAGCUCUUGCCGCGCGUGCGCAUUCAGCCGGCGGGGCGUAACGGAGGCGGAGAGGAGGAGGAGAGCUCUCCGCCCAGCGCUGAAAAAAGGUAAGUUUUUACCCCUUUCCCCCUUCCAGAGCCGGGCGGGAGGGGGUCCCUGAGGGUGGGGGCACCCUCAGGGCACUAUAGUGCCAGGAAAACGGGUAUGUUUUCCUGGCACUAUAGUGGUCCUUUAAGGGUAUGUCCAGCUUCUGAAGCGGUGUCUUUAAGGGGUUAAAUGCAAAAUACACUUAGAAUGAAGUAUUUUUUUUUUCUAAAUAUAUUUGUAAGUGUAAUUUCAUUGUAAUUGUACAAAAUUAAAUAUUCAUAUCUGAAAUGGAAAGUGUAUCUGCCCCUGGCCAAAUUAAAGAAACAAUGCGUGCACGCUCCCUGAAGUAAUUCACACCAGACACAAGUUUCAGGUAGUUGAAUAACUUGAGGAAUGUUUAUUCAGAGGGGACGGCAAGUCCCUUUUAAAGCAAAAUUACAUCAUAAUCAUUGUCAGAGAUAACAUGGAAUAAUACGGUAUUAAUUGGUUAGGUGUUAAGUAGUUAUCUUAGUGCUCUGCCUACUAGAGGUGAUGUCACUGAGACCAUGAGGGUCUCCCCCAGAUCUCAGCGCCAUCUUGUUACACGAGGUAGUUAGUUGAGGUUAUAAGAAGGGAGGGGUUAGAAACUUCUAGCAGCCAUUUUGUCUAAAUAUGCGUGAAUAGCUUAUCUACUGAUUUCAGUGCGAUGGGUAAAUAGACAUUUUACUAACUACAAAGAUAUAUGUGUAUAUGUCCAUAUUUUAUUUCCACAACAAUAUCAGUCUAGGGAGGCUAGGGUGUCACUAAUACGCUUUGCCACCUCACGAAUGCCAUCUGCUUCAAGCCCGAACAUGUCGUUCUCUAUUCUCCAGUAUUAAAGCACACUAUUAGAACGUUUACCCUCCACAUGUCCGUAAUUUUCCCCCCCCUCCUUUAACUCCCUACCCAUCUUCCACCCCUCCUUUCCUAUUCUUUCUCUGUAUCUGUACCCCUGUGACUUCCGGGUUGCCUAUACCCAAUAUCUCUGAAACCGGGAAGUGCAUUCCGGUAACAGAACUUCAUAGUUGUUCCAAAGAAGGGCGAAUGUCGUGCCUUUGGUACAAGGAAAACUAUCUUAUAUGGCUCUUUUGCAGGGACUAUCCCUAAACUAAAAGAAGUGUGUAAGGAAUAAGAGUAAAACAGGAGGACAGUUACAGUAGAAUGAAAGUAGAAACUUGCUUGAAGAGAAGGGCCAAGUUAGCUUGCAGUCCCCAUUUCACCCCCCCUCGGCCAUUCCAGUCCGCAGUGCCAGAUUGCCAUUAUAGAAGGCCUCUCCCACUCCACCUCUAGAUAUAUAUUCUAGCCAGGGGUACCAAAUGUCUGUGUGUUUCUCGUGGGUGCCUAGUAGGGAGGCCAUCAUUGCCUCUGCAGCCUAUGUUUCCUGUAUGUACAUGGGGUGGUACUGUUGUACUUGGGACACAAAUAUUAGUGUUUCAAAACCGUAAAACGUAUCACGACGAUAUCAGUAAAAGGGACAUUUGUGUGUGGAAAAAUGCAGCAAAAAAAAAAAAAAUUACAAAAUAUGAACGCUAACUUUGGCCAGGGUUUUUGAUUCUAAAAAAGAAUGGACAUAACCAAUUUUAAAUAUCCUGGGUUGUCUACUUUUGCUACUGAUAUGCCAUGAUUUUGUUAAUUUAUAUUCCUGGUCUUCCAUAUAGUCUAUGUAACAUAACCAAUUUGACAAAUUUCAAUUUGUAAAACAGAAAAGGGGAAAGCCCUAUAUUUGACCCUGAAAGAUUCCAAUACCUUAUAAAACCUGUACAUGGGGGUACUGUUGUACUUGUGAGACAUAGCUGAACACAAAUAUUUGAUGUGAAAUGAAAGUCCUGUAUCUCAUGAACAAAGCGAUAUAUAUGUGGGUGCUCUUAAUAUGAAAGAGGUAAAAAUAUGGUUGAACAGACAUAAAGUCAAAUUCAAAGGGGCGAUAUAAACUGUUGGGGAAGGUACAUUGGGCAAGAAAAACCAUUAAAAAUACUAUAAAACCUGUAUCGUGAUGGCAGAGGUAAAACAACACCAAAAAGAGUACAUAAUAUACAAAUUUAAAUUAACCAAUCCAAAGGUGGGUACUGAUCCAGUGACUGAGGACAUCAGCGCUGGAAUCCGUUAAGUGACAAAAGUGUUUUUAACGAUUUCAACAGUUUUGUGUUCCUAGCACUAUAGUUUCCCAUUAAUACAAUUACCACCUCGCCAAAGGGGUUACCUUUUCUAUUGUGUAAAAAGGUAAGUGCCUAUGACGGGGCUUGACAAAUUUGCAUGGAAUUGAAGAGACAGUAUAAUGUAGUUGUUCUAAAGUCUAUAUCUGGUCCUUGCACGUUUUUCAAUGUAAACACAGACUUUUCAGACAAAAGGAAUUGUUUAUAUUGCUGACUAGUAACACCUCUAGUGGCAGUCACUCUGACUGCCUCUAGAGGUGCUUCCUAGAUCAGUGCUACACAUUGAGGUGCUAAACAUUCCCAACAGAGGUGCAUCUCUAUGAGGAGAAGUUGAUUGGCGCAGCGUGGCUUUUUCCGCACAUGCGCAAUAGUCUUCCAAUGCUUUCCUAUAAGGAAGCAUCAGACUGGCUGAGCUUGUCAAGGUUGAUGAUGGAGGUGGCGCCAGCCGCGGCAUCACCAGCACGCCGUGGGGAAAAAAAGGGGAGAGUUUUUACUCCCCUUAAUUGCAGAGUUUCAGGUUACCUAAAUAUAUACAUACACACUCACUGAGAGACACAUAGAUACAUAGUUAGGUAGCUGAAAAGUGACUUGCGUCCAUCAAGUUCAAACUUUCUCACAUAUGUUUUCACUGUUGAUAAAAAAAGAAGGCAAACCCAGUCUGAUGUGCUUCCAAUUUUGCAACAAAGUAGGAAAAAAUGCCUUCUUGACCCUAAAAUGGCAGUCAGAUAUCUCCUUGGAUCAAGAAGCUAAUACCCCACUAAUUUUUAAAUUAUAACCUUGUAUAUUAUGUUUUUGGAAGUAUUUAUCCAAUUGCUGUUUAAACAUCUGUAUGGACUCUGAUAAAACCACUUCUUCAGGCAGAGAAUUCCACAUCCUUAUUGUUCUUACUGUAAGAAAAAUAAAUCCUUGGAUUAAAUCUCAUUUCUUCCAGGCUAAAUGUGUGACCUUGUGUGCUAUAUAUAUAUAUAGUCCUGUUUAUAAAUAGAUUUCCAGACAUUUGUUUGUACUGGCCCCAAAUAUAUUUGUAUAAUGCGAUCAUAUCUUCUCUGAGGUGCUGUUUUUGCAAACUAAAGAAAUUGACAUUUCUUUAACCUUUCUUUAUAACUAAAAUGCUUCAUUCCUUUUAUCAAUUAUGUAGCCCAUCUCUGCACUUUUUCUAGUGCCAUGGUAUCCUUCUUUAGAACAGGUGCCAAAAAUUUCACUGCAUAUUCAAGGUGUGGUCUUACCAGCGAUUUAUAAAGAGGCAAAAUGAUAUGUUAAAGGACCACUCUAGGCACCCAGACCACUUCAGCUUAAUGAAGUGGUCUGGGUGCCAGGUCCAGCUAGGGUUAACCCAUUUUUUAAUAAACAUAGCAGUUUCAGAGAAACUGCUAUGUUUAUGAAUGGGUUAAGCCUUCCCCCUAAUCCUCUAGUGGCUGUCUCAUUGACAGCCACUAGAGGCGCUUGCGUGCUUCUCACUGUGAUUUUCACAGUGAGAGCACGCCAGCGUCCAUAGGAAAGCAUUGUAAAUGCUUUCCUAUGCGACCGGCUGAAUGCGCGCGCAGCUCUUGCCGCGCGUGCGCAUUCAGCCCUGGAGGAGGAGGAAAAGGAGAAGAGGAGGAUCGGAGGAGGAGAGCUCCCCGCCCAGCGCUGGAAAAAGGUAAGUUUAAACCCCUUUCCCCUUUCCAGAGCCGGGCGGGAGGGUGUCUCUGAGGGUGAGGGCACCCUCAGGGCACUAUAGUGCCAGGAAAACGAGUGUGUUUUCCUGGCACUAUAGUGGUCCUUUAAUUCAGAGAAUUUAUGCCCCUAUUUAUACAUGACAAAUAAAUAAUAAUAUUCGUACAGACUAGUAAGAAACAAGCCCAAUACCAAUCCUAUGUCCCUUAUUAAAGGGACACUCCAGGCACCCAGACCACUUCCGCCCAUUGGAGUGGUCUGGGUGCCAACUUCCAUUACUCUUAACUCUGCAGUUGUAAAUAUUGCAGUUUUCAAAAACUGCAAUAAUUACAUUGCAGGGUUAACUCUCCCUUUAGUGGCUGUCUACUAGACAGCCAUUAGAGGGCACUUCCUGGUUUCUAGCACAGGUUUUUCUGUGCUAGAGCGUCGUGGGAAGUCCUCACGCUAUGUGAGGACCUCCAGCGUCUCUCAAUUCCCCAUAGGAAAGCAUUGAAAGCAUUUUCAAUGCUUUCCUAUGGUGAGGUCUAAUGUGCACGCGCGCGGCAUUGCCAUGCAUGUGCAUUAUGUCUUCCCGGCCGGCGGCCGCACAUGCGAGAUCGGUCUCCCCCGCCGGAUGACAUCGACGGGGGAGGAGCGUGGGCGGACCCGAAACGAAUGCCGAGGGACAUCGGCGGGGGUCUCAGGUAAGUCACUGAAGGGGGUUUUCACCCCUUCAGCAACAUGGGAUGGGUGGUGGGAGAGGGUACCUGCAGUGUGGCACUGGAAUGUCCCUUUUAAAGUACUAUUCCAACAUUGGAAUGAGAAAACCUUAAUUUAUAAUUCACAAUUUAUUAAAUCUCUAUAAAAACACACAAAAAACAGUGCCAGAAAAAUGUGAAAAAAUAGAAAAUAAAUAAAAGUGGACAAGCAGAUGGAUCCUAUAUAGAUGGUCAAAAUGAUCUCCCAGCUUAGGGUAAUAAUGGUAUUGGGCUUGUUUCUUACUAAUCUGUACUAAUCUUCUUAUUGAUUUCUAUGUUGGGUUAUGCCCUAAUUACCCUACAAUCAUUACAGACUCGGUGUUAGAUUCUCUUUAAUCGGGUUUGUAUAUUUAUUAUACAUGGCAAUACCUUUUGUGGCCUGAGCAACUGCCAAUUGACAUUGCAUAUUGCUGCCUAAUUUGUUGUCUUGAACAAUUCCAAAAUCCUUCUCGUGUGUUAUCACUAAUUCACUGCCAUUUAGGGUGUAAGUUACAUAGUUACAUUGGCUGAAAAGAGACAUGUGUGUCUAAGUUCAGCCUUCCUCACAUCCGUUAUCUGUUGAUCCAAAAGAAGGCAAAAAAAACAAAACAACAAAGCCCAGUUUGAAGCACUUCCAAUUUUGCAACAAACCAGGAAAAAAACUAUUAUUCUUGACCCAGAAUGGCAGUCAGAUGUAUCCUGGAAUCAAAAAGCUAUUACCCUACAGCUGAAAAAUUAUAUAAUUGAAUUAUGUUUUCGCAAGUAUUCAUCUAGUUGCUGUUUAAACAUCUGUACAGACUCUGAUAAAACCACUUCUUCAGGCAUAGAAUUCCACAUACUUAUUGUUCUUAUGGUAAAAAAAAUCCUUUCCUUUGCCUUAGACUGUCUUCUUUCUUCCAGUCUAAACGUAUGACCUCAUGUCCUGUUUCUGAAUCAUAUCCCCUCCGUGGCAAUUUUUUUUUUUUUUUUUUUUUAACUACAGAGGUUUAAAUUGGUUAACCUUUCUUCAUCGCUAAGAUGUUCCACUCCUUUUAUUAAUUUUGUAGCCCACCUUUGCACUUUUUCCAGUGCCAUAAUAUCCUUCUUGAGAAUAGGUGCUCAAAAUUGCACAGCAUAUUCAAUAUGUGGUUUUUACCAGUGAUUUAUAUAGAGGAAAAAUGAUCUUCUCAUCCUGAAAAUGAAUGCCUUUUUUAAUGCAUUACAAUACCUUAUUGGCCUUAGCCACUGCUAACUGAUGCUGCACAUUGUUGCCUAGUUAGUUGUCUAUAACAAUUCCAAAAUCCUUCUCAUGUGGUGUUAUCCCUAAUUCACUGCCACAGGGCAGGACAAAUUUGCUUGGAAUUUAGGAGCCAGCUAUCAUCAUUGAAAGUGACUUUUUUUUUUUGCAUUUUUCACACACAAAUGGCACGUACACUGACAAUAUAUAAUUGUUGUGAUACAUUUUACGGUUUUGAAACACUAAUAUUUGUGUGCAGGGAAGUCUCCUGAGUAGAACAGUACCCCUCAUGUACAGGUUUAUAGUGUUUUCAAAAGUUAGUCAAAUAUAAGGCUUGUGUUUCAGUUUUUUCAGAUUGAAAUUCGCCAGAUUGGUUACGUUGCCUUUGAGACUGUAUGGUAGCCCAGGAAUGUGAAUUACGCCCAUGAUGGCAUACCAUUUGCAAAAGUAGACAACCCAAGGUAUUGCAAAUGGGGUAAUGUCCAGUCUUUUUUAGAAGCCACUUAGUCACAAACACUGGCCAAAAUUGGCGUUCAAAUUAGUUUUUUGUAUUUUUCACACACAAACAAAUAUUAAAGGGACACUAUAGUCACCAGUGCAACUACAUGUAUUCCUGACCCUAUAGUGUUAACACGACCAUCUAGCCCCCCUGGGCCCCUCAUGCCUCCAUAAAUAUAGUAAAAAUGUUACUGUAUUCAAGCCAGAAGCUGUAAAUCUGCAUACUGUUAGACUCAGGAAAAACAAGCAGUCUGUUGACAUGUGAUAGCCUGAUCCGAUCACAGUGCUUCCCCAUAGGAUUGGCUGAGACUGACAAGGAGGAAGAUCAGGGGCAGAGCCAGCAUGAUUCAAACACAGCCCUGGCCAAUAAGCAACUCCUCAUGUUUUUAUGCCUCCAUCAACUCAGAAGUCCCUCUGGUUCACUCUGAGUGACUGCAACAGGAGGUGUUCCUAGCUUUCAAUAUAAACACUGUACAGAAACAAAAUACAGUGUUUACAUGAGGGAGGCUGCAGGGAGCUAUAGUUUUCACCUGAACAACCUCAUUAAGCUGAAGUUGUUCAGGUGACUAUAGUGUCCCUUUAAUGCUAACUUUGGCUAGUGUUUGUGACGAAGUGGCUACUAAAAAGACUGGACAUGCCCCAUUUGCAAUACCUUGGGUUGUCUAUUUCAGAUGAUAUGCCAUCAUGGGGGUAAUUCUCAUUCCUGGACUACCACACGGUCUCAAAUGCAAUGUAACCAAUCUGGCAAAUUUAAUGUGAAAAAACUGAAAAAUGUAACAUGCUAUAUUUCACUCUGUAACUCUCCAAAACACCAUAAAACCUGUACAUAGGGGGUACUGUUUUACAAGUGAGACAUCGCUGAAUAAAAAUGUUUAUUUUAUUGUAGUAAAAGUAAUUUGGCAAAAUCCAAAUAGAUCACAUCCACUGCAACACCCUUAUCUAUUCUUCUACUUACUUCUUCGUAGAAUGCAAUCAGGUUAGUGUCACAUGACGUGCUUCAUAAAACCAUGCUGAUGUUUGCUGAUAACCACGUUCUUCUCAGGAAAUUUUUGACUUUUAUCCCUUAGUAACCUUUCAAAUACAUUACCAACUGCAGAAGUUAAGCUCACGUGUAAUUUCCAGGCAAGGAUUUUGAACCCUUUUUGAAUAUAGGAACCAUAUCUGCCUUCUUUUUUUUUUUAUUUUUUAUUUUUUAUUUUUUUAUUUAUUUUUUUUUAAUAAAUUCUUUAUUUUUAAUGUUUUCAGUAUAUUACAUUUCAUUUCAGUUCACGCUCAAUUUAGGGGGGGGGAAGGGGUACAGAAGAGAGAAAGGGAGGGGUGUCAAUAGGUGAUACAGUUCAUCUUUUGGUGAGCUUCUAGCAAGCAUUUUCCAGUCGUCUGUAGUUGCCCAGUGUUUGGUGUGCCGAACGUGUCACGGGUUUGGUCUAGGUGAUUUUUCGGUUUGGGGGAGGGGGGGGGAUAUGCAUGGGGGAGAGGGAGGGGAAGGGUCCCAGGUACUCGGCUAUUUGCGUGCUACGGUGGGUCUGAGUUAAUGUUGCCCAUCCAGUUCCAGUUGUGUGGUCCCGGGGUGUGUGGUGCUAGUUCUCCUGAUGCCCGGGUGGACCCUGGGUUGUGCCUAAGUGGUAUGUUGCUGGCCUCACGAUGCGUGAGGCGGUCAUUGGAGGCCGGAUUGUGCCGUAACUUGUUCAUGUGGGCGAGGGAUUGCAUGCUUAGACCAGGUGUUGGCCUAUCGGACCCGGGGGGGUGGAGGUAUAGGGGGUGGAGGUGUUGUUGGGUUGAUGGCUUUCGGAGGGCUGGGGGGGGGAGCUGAGGGUGUCUGUGCGUGUCCCUAAGGUGUGCAUCCCUCUUACCUUGUGGUUCUGGUCAAGGCGACGGUACCGGCAGGUGCCGCGUGCCAGCGGGGUGAUGAGGUCUGUGUGGUUGAGGCCAAAUUUGGGCUGUUCGUAUCCCAGGGGUCCCAGAUUCGGUGGAACGCUUUAAAUGAAUCGUGUAUCUGUGCGGUUAGUUCGUCCAAGUUGCGGGUUUCUUUGAUCUUGUUGAUGAUAGUCGAGAUUGUGGGAAUUCGGUGGUCUGCCCAGCGCUCCGCGAUCACCCUUCGAGUAGCCAGCGUUAUCCGGGCCGCUAGCUUGUUUUCGUUCCUGGUAAGGGAAUCUAGCGGUUUGCGGAGUAGCAUCGUCCAUGGGUGCGCAGGGAAGGGUUUCUGGAGAAUUUGUGUUAUGAGGUCGCAACUUUCUGUCCAGAGUGGCUUGAGUUUGGGGCAGUUCCACUAGCAAUGUAAGUAGGAGCCUGUAUCGCCGCACAGUCGCCAGCAGAGGUUGUCGGAUUUUUGGCCCAUUUUGUGGAGUCUGAGCGGUGUCAGGUACCAGCGGAAUAACGUUUUGUAUGCUUGCUCUUUGUGGGUAACGCAGACUGUCAGGGAGUUCGUUGCUUCCCAUAUUUCUGCCCAGUCACUCGGGUCCUCCGGUGGGCCAAGAUCUCGCUCCCAUGCGGUCAUGUAGGUGAGAUUAACUUGGGAGAUAUGUGUUGUCAGGGUGGCGUAUAAGUCGGAGAUUUGUCCGGGGUGUAGGGGUGCGUUGAAGCACCGUUUCUCGAAUGCUGUCAGGGGUGAGGUCCCUGCCUGUUUAAUCAUUGGAUGUCGUGCCAGGUCCCUGAGUUGCAUAUAAUGGAAGUAAUCUGCUGUCGUGAGCGUGUCGCUGUUCGGUAUGGCUUGGUAGGCGACGAUUUCUCCCUGACAGUACAGGUGGAGCAGCCUGCAGAUAUCCCUAUGGUCGAAUUCGCGGAAGUGCUGUGCGACCAUCCCUGGUGGGAAAAGUUUGUUGCGGUAAAUAGGUGUUACCGGAGACAGGAAAGAGGAUAACUCGUAUUUAGGGUUGAGUUUGUCCCAGAGUGCCAACGUGUGGGUGAGUGCCGGAGAGGUGGGCGGAGGGAGCGGACGGUGGGCACCCACAUAUAGGAUGAUGGUUGGUCCCAGCCCAGGAUAUCGUGCUCCAGGUCCACCCAUCGCUUGGCGCUCGGGGGCGCAUGCCACUGCAGGACAUGGGCCAGGUGGGCCGCGUUGUAGUACUGUAGGAAGUUGGGUAGCCCAAGGCCUCCGCUGGUUUUAGGGACGUACAUGGUCGACCUGCGGAUGCGUGGUUUUUUGGCCCUCCAAAUGAAUUUGUCAAUGGCGGCCUGGAGCUCUUUGAAGUCUUUUUUUCUGUAUGGGGAUGGGUAGCGUUUGGAAGAGGUACAGAAAGCGCGGUAGUAAAUUCAUUUUGAUGGUUGUGAUUCUGCCCAGCCAGGAAAUCCCAAGUCUGUCCCAUCGUUGCAAGUCUAGGUGAGCUGUAGCCAGCAGAGGUUUGUAGUUGAGCUCGUAGGUAUCUUCCAGAUUGAGGGGCAGUUGGGUGCCCAGGUAUGUGAAGUGGGACGUAUUGAUUUUGGAAAGGGAAGGAUUGUCGUAAGAGGCUGGUUUGUUGCUCAGUCAUCGCCAUGGGUACGAGCACAGAUUUCGUCAAAUUGAUUUUGUAUCCGGAAAAGCUAGCAUAGUCGGCUAUCACUUUGAGGGUUGCUUGCAGGGAGGGCGUCGGGUCCACGAGGGUCAGGAGGACGUCGUCCGCAUACGCCGCUACCGUGUAUGUGUCUUGUCGAAUUCGGAUGCCGUGGAUGUCGGGGUGGUUGCGUAUGGCUUGUAGAAGUGGUUCUAACAAAAUUACAAAUAGGAGCGGGGAGACGGGGCAGCCCUGCCUGGUCCCAUUCGCAAUGUCGAAUGUUUGGGCUGGGACGUUGGGUAAGAGGAGGUUCCCCGUGGAACGGUUGUAAAUUGCCGUCAGAGCGUUUAGGAAUCCAGCCGGGAAUUGCAGGUGAGCUAGUGUUUGAAACAUGUAGGGCCAGAGAAGGCGGUUGAACGCCUUCUCUGCGUGCAACGAAAGCAUUACCGAGGGAAUACCCUGGUUCUGAGCGUACCAGAUUGUGUUAAAGGCUAGUCUGGUGUUGUCCGAAGCCUGUCUUGUAGGGAUAAAGCCGACCUGGUCUGGGUGUAUCAGCUUAGGGAGGUACGUGUUGAGACGGUUGGCCAAAGCUUUGGUGAGAAUUUUUAGGUCUGUGUUCAGGAGAGAGAUUGGUCGGUAGUGCCCUGGGUCCAGUUGGUCCUUCCCUGGCUUGGGCAGGAGGCAGAUGUCGGCAGCAAGCAUAUCCGGGGGGAGGUGUUGGCCCUGUAGAAGAGAGUUGAAGGUGUUGCACAGGUGUGGUAUUAGUAUUGCCUGAAACGUUUUAUAGUAGAGGGCUGUGAAGCCGUCUGGGCCUGGGCUUUUCAUGGGUUUUAGCGUUUUGAGGACCUGGGCGAGUUCUUCUCCCUCUAUGGGCGCUUCCAACAGGGUCUUGGCCUAAUUGCGGGGCAAGGUUUUAUAAGCUUUCCCACUGCCCUGCAGAGCUCAGUCUGCGCGGAGCCCUCCAUGGGUGAAGAUGGAUUAAUUUAUUUUUUUGCGUUCGGUUUUUUGUUUUUCGUCAGGAUUUUUUUUUUUUGCUUUUUUUUUUUUUUUUUUUGCAUUUUUAUUAUGGCAUAUGCUUUAUGGGGUACAGAAUAGAAAGAGGAGCAAUUUUGGGGUAACACAAGUUAAUGAUUUCCUCCCUGUUCUCACGAUGCUUCCUGUCAGUAUUGCCGAAUGUCCUGUCACUUAGACAGAACGCCGGCAAAAGUGCCGAAUUGCAUCCUAACAGAAUUAGAACAGUUUCUCCAUUCAUGUUAGGAUGCAAUCCGGGACUUUGUUCGGAUCGCAAUUUCAUUUGAAUGAAUGAAACUCCGAUCCUAUUCGUGCUGUGGCUGCUUAGUAGAUAACUCCCUAAAUCCCACGGUAUCAGGGAGUUAUCUACUAAAAGGCUGAAAGACCUAAAUUGGUCAACUAAGUAAAGACAAGUUAAUGAUUACAAUAUGGUAUGCAAUACACUCCUAAGAAAGACUGCCAUAUUUUUGUUGUUAAACGUCAAGUAAAGUAACGUAGAGUACAGUAGAGUGAAAUAGGGUAGAGAAUUGCCUAAAGCGAUACAACCGGAUUAGCAGGGCAGUGCUCAUGCAGUGUCAAUGACAGUGUGGUUGGCAUAGAUACCCUGUACUGGUUGUUAUUGCAGGCUAGGAUAGAACGAUUACUCAGUUGCUUAUUAUUUAAAUACAGGCUAGGACCAGGCUAUGGCAUAUAAAAACUGAACAGAGGUGAAGUAAUAGGGUUCUGUCAACGUUAAUUGCAUCAGGCUAGGUUUAGCAAGUAACUCGAUUAAUAUGAGAUGGAGCCUAUACCUCAACAUUGCGCCUUUUUUUUUAAAAUUUUAUUUUAAGUUUGGGUAUGAUGGCUUUUUAUUUGUCCUUUUUUGGAGCUGAAAAAUUAAGAUUUUAGAAAAACGAAGACGUCAAAUGGAAAGUUUAAUUUUUGUUUACAGGUUAGUUAUUUUAUUCCCCCCUAUUUUUAGGGUGAGGGGGGUAGGUAGGGGAUAGUCUUAUUUGGUUGGGGGGGUGACUAGGGGCUUGGGACCCAGGGGGGAGGACAGUAGGUCCCCCCCUUAUUGUUUUUUAGGGCCCCUCCCACCGUUCAGGGGUGGGGGAUUGAAGGUCCCCCCUACCAUUCUUAUAUAGAGCCCCCACCCACCUCUCGGGGGAGUAGGUCCCCCCCCUUAUUGUUUUUUAGGGCCCCCACCCACUGCUCAGGGGUGGGGGCCAGGGAGGGAAGAACAGUAGGUCCCCCCCUUAUUGUUUUUUAGGGCCCCCACCCACUGCUCAGGGGGGAGGACAGUAGGUUUCCUUUAUGCUGGUAUUUUUUUUUUUUUUUGUGGUGAGCAACCACAGGCUGCUCACUGUUUAGUGGACAUGCCCCUACUCGCGGUAUAGCGAGUAGAGGCAUGGGGGAGAUUUUAAUCUCCCUUAUGCUAUUAUGAGGGUCAUAUUGACCCCCAUAGAGUGAGGUGGGUGCUGGGGGGGUUAUGAACUGAAUGAACAAACUAACACUGAUGUUCAGUGUUUGUUUGCUCGUCUGACAAUGCUAUUCAUUCAUUCGGCUUUCUGACGAAUGAAUAGAUGAAAUUCCCGUUCGCAUGCCCAGGUGUUUCACUGGGCAUGUGCGGGAAUCUCACAGCACUAUCUAGUGUGGGCAGAUGACGUGUCCCACAGGGACUUCCUCUACCAACACAAAGAUGGCGGCGCCCUGAAUAUAGAUCGGGGCAGAAAAUAAAGAUUAAAAAAUAAGUAAUAUGGGGGGCUUAGGGGCAUUUGGGGGUGACUAGGGGUUCAAUUAGAUGUAGUGGAGGCAGGAGGGGGGUUAAAAAAAAAAAUGGGAUUCAGCCAUGACAGUGCCCCUUUAAUCUCUUGGUUUACUUGACUAUAGUGAUCCUUUAAUAGUAAAAGCAAGAAAGACAUGUUCCUUAGCCUUCUUUCUUGCUUUUAUAUGAACUUCCCCCUAAUAAAAAAAUUUUUUUUCUGCCUUUAUCAUUAAAACUUACCUCCGUUCUAGCGCCGAGCUCCUCGUCAGGCCACGCCCCAUUUUUCAUCAAAAUGACGAAUUCGCAGGGCCCAUUAGGAUGCUUCUCUCUGAGAAGCGUCAUCACGCUCUGGUGCGCAUGCGUGGCUUCGCACUGCACCAAUCAGGUUCUUCAUAGAGCGGCAUUGAAUGGGACUCUAUGAAAGAACUGAGCACUCUACAGCGCAUGUGCGCAGUAUGCACGUUCGUGAGCUGAGCUGACUGACCGCUCAGCUCGCUGUCUAUGCCCGCCCCCCCUCCAAUGGCAACCCUCCUAAGCCAAAGGUUUGUAUGCUAUAUAUAGAAAUCUCUAUCGAUUUCCAUUUCUGUUUCUCUCUGACCCACACUUAGUCACCCACCCUCACUCACUCUGUCACUCACCCACCCACACACCCAAAAUAAGUUUACUUAUGGUUUGGAUCCUCCUGCUUGGUCUCUGGUCUUUAGCCUGCCAGCUGGUAGCUGGAGAAAUUUGGAAGUGAUGGCUAAAAGAAGUUAACAGAGAGUUAAAACUAUUGGUAAAAUAUAAAGGGAAUGAAGAGGUAAUUGAGUGAGUCUCUCAAACAGCUGGAGGAGCAUGCUAUAUAUUUAGGGGGAGCCUGGGUGGGUAGUGCUGAGAAAAAAAAAAAAAAUGCAGAGCCUUCAGUAUUGUUGAUUCUAGGAGUGUGGCCUGAAGAACAGAGAUGGUGAUGGAACAAUUUUAUGUGAAGUUAUUUACAGCCGGGAGGGUAGAGUAAACGUGUUGUAUGCAAUUGAAAAAGUUACCAACCGAAUUCGAGCACCCAAAAAAUUAAUAAUUGUGUACAUGAAAUAUUGGUCAAAAAUAAUAAAUGACUAAAAAAAACUGCAUGCGCAGAAAAUUAUAGUGGCAAACCAGUAUAAAUAUCCAGCAUAAAGGAAAUGCAAUAGCAAAAUUAGUAAUUGCUUUCCUUCUCUUUUGUUUGUGGUUGUGGUUGCAUGGUGUGCUGUACACAAUACAAUUUGCUAAGUAUUUAUUUAUUUAUAAAAUAUUUUACCAGGAAAGAUACAUUGAGAUGUCUCUCGUUUUCAAGUAUGUCCUGGGUCCACAAAUCAUUGCAUUGUUACAUUAGGUACAACAAAAUACAAAAACAAUAUUAAUACACAAUAUAUACAAAAUUUAACAUAGAACAGGCAGGAAAUAUAUAAUCAACCAUGACACGUGAAUUCUGUUUUGAGGUAUGUAGAGAGGGAUCUCUUAAAAUGUAUUUUGUCUCAUACAGGUGUUUUAGACUAACAGACGUGAAAGUACCUGGUAUUUCCUGACCAUUAGGGGCAACAAUGCAACGAUUAGGGUAAGAAAACAUGCAUUUUCAUUUUACAUAAAAUUAGCUGAUUGUAAAAUUGAAUUUUUUUUUUUAUUUUUUUUAUAAAGCAUUUUAUUUUAAAGUAAUAAGGGCAAGAGGUAGAUUUUUGAAUGGCUGUAGAAUAUAGACCUUUUUAUAAACUGGCCUCUGAAUAAGUCUGUAUUUUUAAAGAGCAAUGUUCACUUUCCUACCUCUAGAGAAUAAAAAAAGCAAAUAAGGAGAACCCACACUCAGUCGUGUCAAACUAAAUAACAUUUUAUGGUCUUCCUUUAAGUUAUGUUGAAAAUCCAUGUGUGACAGGUUCACUUUAAAGGAACACUCCCACCUGACUACUGCCCCGCCCCAACACCUAACAACUUGAUCUCAAUGAAGUGGUUAUAGGGGCUAGAGUGUCUUACCUCCAGGUGUUAAACAAUUUUUCAGAUGGCUUAAAGGAAUACUUUAAAGUCCCCACCCCCUCCCCCAUAACUGCAGCUCAGUGAUGGGUUUUAUUUUUUCAUUUUGUUGCCUUUUAUUAUUAGUAUUACUAUUAAGAUGAGGGGUUAAGAGACCAAUUUAGCACAGACAGUGCCCACCCUUAUUCUAAUAUUCUACAUCCCUUUGCCUUGGAAAUAAAGUUUUAAUGUUGGAGCAGCUGAUGGCUGCUCACCAUUUAGUAAUUAUGUCUACACCUCCACAAUUAUGGGUGAGGGCAUAAGUGAAGAGUCAUUCCUUCUCAUGGUAAUAUACAAUUGGGGCCAAUAAGACACAGAGAUGAAUUUGUGUUUUUUUACAUUUAUUUUUCUGCUGGCAGAUUAUGAAGUGCUAGCCAGCUACUGAAUGGUUAACCCUUACGAUAUUUGACUAUUGGUAUAUUUGCCUAUUUCGCCUCUUGCUGCCAGUGAGCAAUUAGUUUGAAUUUUCUUUCCCCCAAUUCACUUUCAAGCAGCAAGUGAAUAAUAAAUGUGCAAAUGUGCAUCCUACUGGAUACAAAAAAGUGCUUGAUAAAUUUGUCAGAUUUGGCUGUAGUAAAUAUGAGUGGCAAAUCCAGGUGUAAUCUUGUCAUUUUCACCAAAUCUUUUCUGUCCUGAUAUGCCUCCAACUAGGAGGAAUGGUUAACUGGAAGUUUGUAUUACAUUGGUGUUACACAUACAAAGGUGAAGGUGUGAUGGUUUGGGACCAGAGGGGAGGCGAGAUAAGAUCUUAAAAUUUCCUAUUGUUUAUAUCUUGUAUAUCUACAAUAAAUGGUGUGUUCAUUGGCUUUGGGGGAUUUAAUUUAAAGUGAGCAUGCUGUGGCAGGUUCAGUUUAACAAAACUCAUUCUGACUAAUAUUCUAUGUUGGAGUCUUUAACCCCUUCCUGACAAACGGUCCUUAAGGACCAAGGACGUACCGGAUACAUCUAUGGGGAAUUAGAACGUUGGAGCGAUCAUGAUCGCUUCCAGCAGCUCUAAUGGUAUUGCAGCAAUGACUCAAUGUUGAGGCAUCGCUGCAAUACCCCUUCACUGCCGGAGGCCACCAGAGAUUACCCAGUGAUCGCUCCCUCCGGAGCGAUCACUUCAGGGUUGCUCCACGUGGAGCCCGGCAGUGAGGCAGAGCAUUGGAAGCCAUAAGGCAGGCUUCCGAUGCUCUGCCUGUAGUGAGUGCCUCAAGGGGUCGAGGCACUCAGUCAAUGUUACACUUUUUUUUUUUUUUUUAUAAUUACAAAAUAAAUUAAACAGGUUUCGUCAUUAAGCCAAGCACCACAGAUGGGAUGCGGCUGGACUCUUGUCAGAACUCCUGAAACUAUGUAUUUUAGCGAAUUUAAGCCAUGGCAGUGUUUAGAGGAUCCCUUAAAUAUGAUGAUAGCAGGUUAGACCAUUGUGCUUACCACUUCAUAAAGCAGGAAGGAGCAAAUUUUGGCAAGAGGGGUCCUGGAGAGAAACCACAGGUGGUUUCUGUUGGGAAGUUUUUUUUAAGAUUCAUGCAUAGUUUAAAAAAAAAAAACAAAAAAAAAACUACUAUGUCCCUAAUAUUUUAUUUCUCUUUAUUUAUUUUAGCAUCAUGGUGUGCAUACCAUAAAUUGACAAAUUAAUUUGAUCGGUUUUCUCUUGCAGAUUUGAUCCAGUGGUGAUUGCAGACAUGCUAAAACAAGCUGGGAAUGAUCUCUAUAAAAAAGCCCACUAUCCACAAGCUCUCGUAAAAUAUGAUGAAGCCAUAACUAUCAUUUCUCAGAUUGUUUUUACAGGGUAAUUUAUAUAAUAUAAAUGAACAAUAAUUAUAUAAUGUUUAAAUUGUAGAAUUCCUCAAACAAAUGUUUCUUCUAUAUAGCAGUUCUGUUUGUCAUUUUUGUUUUGAUCUUAGACUUUGGUAGCUUGAAUAUUAUCACAAGUAUUAUUACAAGAUGCAAAUUUAUUGACUCUAACUAGUGAUCCAGAGAAUAUUUUGACUAUCCCCUUAAAGGAACACUAGUCACCAGAAGAACUACAGGUUAUUGUAGUUCAGGUCCCUGCAGGCAUUUUAAUGUAAACACUGCCUUUUCAGAGAAAAUACUCUUUUGCAUAGAGCCUAAACAUUCCUCAUAGAGGUGCAUUUAUUCAAUGCAUCUCUAUGAAGAGAUGCUGAUUGGCACAGCCAUUGAGGCAGAGUGGGUACGGAGCUAGGUGAAACAGACCUGCGCAGCCCUGGAAAAGUGUUUUUAUUUAUUUUUUUUUCAUUUAAAUGGGGGUGGGGGGGGGGGAGAUUCUAGAACAAGCUUUUAACACUAGUGUCAGGAACACAUUUGUAUUCCUGACACUAUAGUUUCCUUUAAUCUCUCUCUUUCUCUCUCUUUCUCUCUCUCUCUC